rnacentral:misc_RNA from 1 species
UAUUCACACUGUAAUAUAAUGUGGGAAACAUGAUUAAUUAACAUUGUGUUUACACAUUUGGCAGAAUACAAACUUGUGGAGAAAAAACAGUUUCAGGGGAACAGAGAAUAAAUACGUAAAAACGAAUGAAUACAUACACUAAUUAACGUGACUGGAUCGGGCCGGGUAGAUGUGCAGCUAAUUAAACUGCUGAUAGGCUGUAUCUUGUGUUGCAUGUUAGAAGCCAGCGAACUUAGACAUGAUGGCAUUGACUUGGUCCUCGCCCGUGAGGAACGUCUUGGUGAGCACCUCCAUGGGCAUGGCAGGCUUAGUGGAGAACAUGGCGAAGGUGGGCGUGACGACGCCGGGCGACUGGCUGUCGAACAUGGCGACGAACACGGCGUCGCCGGCGCCGGUGUUGAGCUGGAAGUGCUGCAGGCCGCGGGGCACGACGAAGAGCUCGUUCUCCCUGACCACCUUGGAGAAGAGGCGGUUGGCCCCCGUGGUGAAGCCGACCAAGACCUCGCCCUGCAGCACCAUGACGAGCUCGGAGGCGCGCGGGUG